GAUGAACGCUGGCGGCGUGCCUAAUACAUGCAAGUCGAGCGAACAGACGAGGAUCUUGCUCCUCUGACGUUAGCGGCGGACGGGUGAGUAACACGUGGAUAACCUACCUAUAAGACUGGGAUAACUUCGGGAAACCGGAUCUAAUACCGGAUAAUAUAUUGAACCGCAUGGUUCAAUAGUGAAAGACGGUUUUGCUGUCACUUAUAGAUGGAUCCGCGCCGCAUUAGCUAGUUGGUAAGGUAACGGCUUACCAAGGCAACGAUGCGUAGCCGACCUGAGAGGAUGAUCAGCCACACUGGAACUGAGACACGGUCCAGACUCCUACGGGAGGCAGCAGUAGGGAAUCUUCCGCAAUGGGCGAAAGCCUGACGGAGCAACGCCGCGUGAGUGAUGAAGGUCUUCGGAUCGUAAAACUCUGUUAUUAGGGAAGAACAAAUGUGUAAGUAACUAUGCACGUCUUGACGGUACCUAAUCAGAAAGCCACGGCUAACUACGUG
rnacentral:rRNA from 1 species